rnacentral:rRNA from 1 species
UACGUAGGGGGCAAGCGUUGUCCGGAAUCAUUGGGCGUAAAGCGCGUGUAGGCGGUUCGGUAAGUCCGCUGUGAAAGUCGGGGGCUCAACCCUCGAAUGCCGGUGGAUACUGUCGAACUAGAGUGCGGAAGAGGCGAGUGGAAUUCCUGGUGUAGCGGUGAAAUGCGCAGAUAUCAGGAGGAACAUCAAUUGCGAAGGCAGCUCGCUGGGACGUUACUGACGCUGAGACGCGAAAGCGUGGGGAGCAAACAGG